rnacentral:rRNA from 1 species
CCUACGGGUGGCAGCAGUGGGGAAUAUUGCACAAUGGGGGAAACCCUGAUGCAGCGACGCCGCGUGAGCGAUGAAGUAUCUCGGUAUGUAAAGCCCUAUCAGCAGGGAAGAAAAUGACGGUACCUGACUAAGAAGCCCCGGCUUACUACGUCCCAGCAGCCGCGGUAAUACGUAGGGGGCAAGCGUUAUCCGGAUGUACUGGGUGUAAAGGGAGCGUAGACGGCUGUGCAAGCCAGAUGUGAAAGCCCGGGGCUCAACCCAGGGACUGCAGUUGAAACUGUGUGGCUGGAGUGUCGGAGAGGCAGGCGGAAUUCGUGGUGUAGCGGUGAAAUGCGUAGAUAUUAGGAGGAACACCAGUGGCGAAGGCGGCCUGCUGGACGAUGACUGACGUUGAGGCUCGAAAGCGUGGGGAGCAAACAGGAUUAGAUACCCUUGUAGUC